CGCAAACAUCCCUGCUGAAAAAAACAAUAGAAACCAUUACAGAAUUUGUAAUGGUUUUAAUGGUUCUAAUUGGAAUUCUAAUGGUUUUAAUGGACACUGUAAUGGUCUCUGUGGGUCUCUAUUGGUAAUUUGCUUUCUUCUAUUGGUGGCAUGUAUUGUCUAUUGGAUACCAUUAAGGACCAAUAGAACACCUUUAGAAACUUCUGGUGGUAUCUACUGGACACCAGUAGAAACCAUUAUGACUCCAAUAAAUUUAGUGGUUUCUUUGGAAAACUGUAAUAGUCUUAGUGGGUAGGCUACUGCUGAAAAAAAAAAUAAAAAAAAAAAUAAAAAAAUGAACACAAACAAUAGAAACCAUUACAAAAUUUGUAAUGGUUUUAAUGGUUAUAAUGGGAAUUCUGUUGGUUUUAAUGGUCACAGUAAUGGUCCCUGUGGGUCUCUAUUGGUAAAUUGCUUUCUUCUAUUGGUGGAAUGUAUUGUCUUGGAUUGCCACCAUACGUCAUUUGGAAAGGUUAUUUUUUAUUUAUUAAUUUUUUUAAAUAUUUUUUUUUUUGUCUAAAUCAACUCAACUCGUCAUGGCCUUCAAAAUUGACGUUGAAAGUUGGUCUUUGCUUGGUUCGUCGGAUUUGGUCCAAAUUUAGCAUAAAAAUUGAUGUUAAAUAACAGUGAAAUUCUGCGUGACUUCCACGUGCUGUAAUGUGCGCGUGCGCAGAACUGGAGCGGAGGACGUCACCAUGGAAACGAGGCGGCAGCCCAACCGUCAAGCAGCUGAACGCUGACUCUCAAUGUGGUUUCACUAUUUUUUUCAGAAAUGGUUUAGUGUCGUCAGAAAAAGUCCGUUAGCAUCUCAACCAAGUGCCAGUAAAAAACCUCUAUGACAGAGGAGAAGUUCCUGAUUUUAACAUUUCUGAAGGGAGCUGCUGACAGAGAGGAUGAAAACACACACAUUUUGAUGUCCACGCUGUAGGAGCAUUACUAAAUAAGUAAAACUAAAAUGUUUUAU